UACGUAGGGGGCAAGCGUUAUCCGGAUUUACUGGGUGUAAAGGGAGCGCAGGUGGCAUGGCAAGCCAGAAGUGAAAACCCGGGGCUUAACCCCGCGGAUUGCUUUUGGAACUGUCAGGCUGGAGUGCAGGAGGGGCAGGCGGAAUUCCUGGUGUAGCGGUGAAAUGCGUAGAUAUCAGGAGGAACACCGGUGGCGAAGGCGGCCUGCUGGACUGUAACUGACACUGAGGCUCGAAAGCGUGGGGAGCAAACAGG
rnacentral:rRNA from 1 species